GGGGCCUGUGGCUCAGUGGUAGAGCAUGUGUUUGGUCUGCAGAAGGUCCCCAGUUCACUUCCCGGCAACUCCA
rnacentral:tRNA from 1 species